GCUCAGAAGCAGCCAUACAUUCAAAGAGUGCGUAACAGCUCACUAGUCGAGAGUUCCUGCGCCGAAAAUGUCCGGGGCUGAAACACGACACCGAAGCCGUGGACUCGCAAUGCGAGUGGUAGAGGAGUAUUCUUAAAACCGACGAAGCUGUACCGUAAGGAGCAGUGGAGGGAUAAGAAGAGAGAAUGCCGGAAUGAGUAGCGAGAGAAAGGUGGGAAUCCUUUCGGCCGAAUAUCUAAGGUUUCCAGAGUAAAGCUGAUCUGCUCUGGGUAAGUCGGGACCU
rnacentral:rRNA from 1 species